AGGACGAACGCUGGCGGCGUGCUUAACACAUGCAAGUCGAGCGGUAAGGCCUUUCGGGGUACACGAGCGGCGAACGGGUGAGUAACACGUGGGUGAUCUGCCCUGCACUCUGGGAUAAGCCUGGGAAACUGGGUCUAAUACCGGAUAUGACCUGCUCUCGCAUGGGGGGUGGGUGGAAAGAUUUAUCGGUGCAGGAUGGGCCCGCGGCCUAUCAGCUUGGUUGGUGGGUAAUGGCCUACCAAGGCGACG
rnacentral:rRNA from 1 species